UUCAAUGCAUAUGAUGUAGGGGAACUGAUAUGAGCAGUCCACAUGGCAUACAUGUUGGCCUGUUAGACCGUCUUGUAAUUAUACGGACAGAAACUUAUGGUCCAGCUGACAUGAUACAGUAUGGGAUUGUAUACCAGCUUGGCAUUGCCAAUAAAAGCACCAGUAUUGCCGUCUAUUUGUUGUCUUGGAUCUAUGUGGUUGUGGUUGUUGCUAUUUAUCUGGUAAUCAUGCAUGCUCAUGACAAGUACUCUACGAAGGAGCACAUUUACUACCGGGCAGUUAAAUUGUUCGUCAUCUGCCUCACGACACUGGUGGUCAUCAUAUUGCUGAGAUUCACCAGGUGAUGAUGUGGUUACUUCAAACACACGGCUUUAUGACAGUUUUUUCAAGCAGAGAUGCUCCUUGGUGUUGCUGGCCAAAUGGUCACUUACAGAACAACCAAUUCACUGGAUCGGUUAUCUUCCUGGCUAAUCUCCCACUGUCUGAAUUUUAUGUCUCAAACUCAAGUGUGUUCCUAGCAAGUCUUUAAACAUGUUUUAUUUUUGUGCUCCACACUGAAGCAUUUGCUGAUCAUUGAUUUGCACUGUGCAGCAGGCCUAUUUGUGUAAUGUCAGCUGUUCCAUUUACUUUGGGUUGGCAUCUGUAGAGUCUAUAUA